GACGAACGCUGGCGGCGUGCUUAACACAUGCAAGUCGAACGGAAAGGCCUAGCUUUCUGGGUACUCGAGUGGCGAACGGGUGAGUAACACGUGGGUGAUCUGCCCCUUACUUUGGGAUAAGCCUGGGAAACUGGGUCUAAUACCGGAUAUUCAUUUUUCCUCGCAUGGGGGUUGGUUGGAAGCUUUUGCGGUUGGGGAUGGGCCCGCGGCCUAUCAGCUUGUUGGUGGGGUUAUGGCCUACCAAGGCGAAGACGGGUAGCCGACCUGAGAGGGUGAUCGGCCACAAUGGGACUGAGAGACGGCCCAGACUCCUACGGGAGGCAGCAGUGGGGAAUAUUGCACAAUGGGCGCAAGCCUGAUGCAGCGACGCCGCGUGAGGGAUGACGGCCUUCGGGUUGUAAACCUCUUUCAGCUCCGACGAAGCGCAAGUGACGGUAGGGGCAGAAGAAGCACCGGCUAACUACGUG
rnacentral:rRNA from 1 species